rnacentral:lncRNA from 1 species
AAAAAACCUUUACAAAGAACGGAUAAGAAAAAAAAAUACAAAACUUAAAAAGAUGAAAAAGUACGCAAAAAGUGCACUACACAUUAAUGACGUAAUUAAUCUAAUGACGUGAUUCGUUAACGCAACCAUCGGAUUAUGGCUUAUCCUUAUCCGUGGUUAAUCCUCGAGUUUAUCCUCCCUUGUGAGGGAUCACACAUAAUUUAACCAGAAUGUAUGACACAUAAAAGAAUACCGCAGAGAAAUUUCAAAACCAUAGCCUAUUUCAUGCUGAUUUUCACAAUUCAUUCGACGAAGAAGUUUGUCUUGAUAACAUACUAUUAUUAAACCAUUAAAACGAC